rnacentral:rRNA from 1 species
UACGAAGGGGGCUAGCGUUGUUCGGAAUUACUGGGCGUAAAGGGUUCGUAGGUGGCCGACUAAGUCAGACGUGAAAUCCCUCAGCUCAACUGGGGAACUGCGUCUGAGACUGGCCGGCUUGAGUGCAGGAGAGGAACGCGGAAUUCCAGGUGUAGCGGUGAAAUGCGUAGAUAUCUGGAGGAACACCGGUGGCGAAGGCGGCGUUCUGGACUGCUACUGACACUGAGGAACGAAAGCCAGGGGAGCAAACGGG